GGCCCAAUGGUCUAGAAGUAUGAUACUCCCUUCGGGUUUUACCCGCUUGCGCUGCGUAAGUUCAUUGGGAGUGGUCCCGGGUUCAAUUCCCGGUUGAGCCC